rnacentral:rRNA from 1 species
UACGUAGGGUGCGAGCGUUGUCCGGAAUUAUUGGGCGUAAAGAGCUUGUAGGCGGUUUGUCGCGUCUGCUGUGAAAAUCCGGGGCUCAACCCCGGACUUGCAGUGGGUACGGGCAGGCUAGAGUGUGGUAGGGGAGACUGGAAUUCCUGGUGUAGCGGUGGAAUGCGCAGAUAUCAGGAGGAACACCGAUGGCGAAGGCAGGUCUCUGGGCCACUACUGACGCUGAGAAGCGAAAGCAUGGGGAGCGAACAGG